GAGAGAGGCUUUGCUUCACAAACCCUGUGGCACGCGAUCCUGGUGGUUCAGGAUGACUCUCAGAAGCAGCAAGCCAGGAUGGCAGGAUGUCUCGGCAGGCAGGGGCUGCGGGGCUACAGUGCAGCGACAACUCACUGCAGUGCCGAAGAAGCAGCGGGGGCAGAGCGGUGCUGGCCCUCAGGGAGAGGCGAGCUCAUGAUCCCAGGCACCCAAGCAGAUGGUGAUAGGUCCCUCUCUUAGGGAGGUGGGUGUUAAUAAGGUCCCUGUUCAGUGGCUGCUCUCACAAGCAGAGGCUCACCCCAUGGCAGAAGAAGCAGCUCUAGGCUGGGCUCUAGCGGCAGCAGUGAAUUCCCUUCCCCAGGCAGCAGCUCCAACUAUCCUCCUCCCAAGCCGAGAUAUAUAUAUAUAUAUAUAUAUAUAUAUAUGUAUAUAGAGAGAGAGAGAGAGAGAGAGGAGCUGCUGCCCAGCCCUGUCUUUUAUCAGCCCAGUUCUCCUCUGCCCCUCAGAGAGAAACUCCCAGAUGAGAGAAGUGCAACCAGAUGCCCUGCUCUUCUGAGCUUGGCCACCUCUUUUGUUUUUCUUAAGUACCCAGUCAUUAGUGUUUCCUAGCAACUUACUGGAAAAAUUCUAUAACUAAAAAGGAGCAAAAGGAAAGAAACCUAACCCCCAACAGUUUUACUGCCAGGGUGGUCUAAGAAUAGGAUAAUCUUUGGGCACAAAUUUGUUGCAGCCUAGUGGAAGACAACAGUCCUUGAAAAGAUCAAGGAAAUGGUAACCAGAUAUAUAACAAGUUUCACUUAGGCUGUACUAUGAUUUGAUUGGUGGUACCUGCCAUGAGAGAGUAAUGAAUAAUGAGAGAGCAAGAAUAUUUUGAAACAGACUACAGUGGCAUCCACAAUUGUGGACUCCUUCUUCCUUUCAUCCUCUCCUGAAAAGGUCAAUCAAUGGGCUAUUCAGAAAUACUUAAGUCAUUGCUGCGACAGGCUGAUUAACCUACAAUAAGAUUUAAAUAAUUGCUGCCAUAAAUAAAACUUUUUGAUUGAUUAUUUGGCAUCAUUUCACCAUAAUUCAGCUCAAGGGUAUCCCAAAUGUACUUCUGAGUAGGCAGUUGGUGACUGCCCUCUAGGAUCCAACAUUUUGUGGCCAUCCCAGACCAGGUAGCCAGGACUGCCCUCUUGGGACCUGACACCUUGCAUAUAUAAAAAAGCACUGGGUAUAUUUUAUGUAGUCUAAUGUUUAGGUUUUCUUCACUGAGCAUGAAGAAAUACAGAUGUACAAUGGGCAGAUGGAAAACCAGCUUGUGUCUGCCCCUACGAGCAAAGCUUUUCCUACAGAUCUUGCUUACCUAUGGUUUUGGGAUGGGAAAGGCAUACAAGACCACAGGAAAUUAUCUAUAUAAGCAUUAACUGUGUUAAUGCUUACAUAGAUAAUUUGGUUAAAUGUUAUGCCAACUAACCCACACUUAAGAGACUACUCUAAGGGGACCACAUCAUUGGGGCAAUCCUCAUACUGUUGCAAACCAUCAUUGCAGAUAGGGCUCUACAGCAGCAUUUCCCAAAAGUUCCUCUUUUUUCAUGCUUUCUAUAACACCAGACCUGCACAUUUCAGCCUUUUUUCCGUAUGCAUUUUUCAAGCACCAAGUACAGUCUUUCAAGGCGAUUUACAAGAUGACAGCUGAAACCAGAGUUUCAUGAUGUACAUUUUCAUAUCCAUUUUCAAAGAGACCUGUGAGGGGCUGUUGUUUAAACAUUUAGCUUCCAUGUUCUGACAUCUCAAUAUCCUGAUAAUUGAACCAUUUUAAAAUUAAGUAGUGUUUGGUCUUCAAAGUUUGUGUUCAUAAUCUGUGGCCUUCCUUUUUUCCCCCAAGGCUUUAUCUGAUAAGAUCCAGACCCUGGAUUCUCUAUGUCUUGAGUCUGAAGCAUUGCAAUUUGUUUCCUUUUGCAGCUGAAGAUAAUGUAGUGGUCUCUACACCAUUUUCAUCCCAGCUUUCUUUCUCUUAGCUUUUAUCUUACCUGUAAAGCCAUGGGGCAAAUUCAGCAGUUACUAGAUUCUGGCAAAGUUGUACUGGUGGGCACUUAAAGUCAGUGACAUUUUGGAUAGACAUUUUCCUUUACUCAGUUUAUGAAAAAAAAAAAUCAGUUGAAGAGAAAGCAGAAUUAAAUAGGUUUGAAAUGUGUAAUGUGCUGAAGGUGACCUUGGGAAAUAGCAUACUUGUAGUCUGUAGAUUAGACUUCACAUCUCAUUACAAGAAAGUAAAGAGAACAUGUGAUUUAAUUGCAGUCACGUUUAUUUGCAGUUUCUAUACACACUUUCUAGGUAAUCAAACUUUUCCAACACAUUUUUUGAGAGGGGUUCACAAUGAAACUGUCACUGUUUUUACUAAAAAUAAAUACAAGACUUAAAGUGUUGCACAGCUCUAAAAUAUACAAAGGCUUGGAUUUAAUGUAAACUUUGAAAACAUUUUACAAAAGAAACCAUAUUUGCAACAAUUUAAAAAGUUUGUAUUUACAAAUAUUACAAAAAUACAAAAUGGAUGCAAGUCCAUAAACCAUUGUCUUUUCUGCCAGCAUGAACUGGUGCUAGUACCAAAAUAGUUACACUGUAACCUUCUUAAAUUUUUUAAAAUUCUUUAAGUCAUAACCUACAGUAUUUCUCUAUCUGCCACCAUUGCAGCAAAUGCACUCAUCACUGACCUUUGGCAAAAGCAAACAUAUGCUUUAUUUGCUACUACUAUCCCUUGCCCUCUAUGCUGCCACAACAAAAACAGAAAGGCAAAAAAAAAAAAGAAGAAAAAAAACAAAGAAGAAAAGGGGAAAAUAUUAUUUUUCAGAACACAGCUGUAUAACUUAAGAAAUAAUUCUCGUAAUAUCAGUGCAAGCAACAGAACAGUAGGUUGAAAUGACGGUUCAGCAGUUACCUGAUGCACAUACUGUACCCUGUCUCAAGAGGUGAGUGAUGUUCCCUUCGCUCUAUGGCCUGUCCUCUGGUGCCUUAAUGGCACACUUGGAAUGCUGCAGGUCUCCCUGCCAUUCAUCCUCCUCUGACUCCCACGUUUAUUCUCAACUCUUUUGUUCACAGAGAAUUUAGAAUCUCUCUGUUUGGGUUUCAGUCUGCUAAAUGUAAAUUAGAAAAUUAAGCAAAAGGAGACUGUACUCCAAUGGGAUUGUUUUGUGUUUGUUCUGUAUGUGAAUUAUUGCCUCAUUAUUCUGGUAAAAAAAACCCCUAGUGUAUACAUAUUUAUUUAGGGUGUCUAUGAAGUUAUUGAUUGGUAAUAAACAAUGGUAUCAUCAAAGUCAAUUCAGCUAUAUUCUCUUUAGUGUUUCAAAUGACUGUUUAACUCAGGACUAUUAAACAUUUUGUAAAAGUGCUCCUGGUAAAAUUUUUGUGGAAAAUGACUGAAGAUGACAAACUAAGGACUUUCUGCCCAUUAUCUAAACUAGCUUUUGUCAUAUUCUCCAGAAGGUGGUUUGUUAUAUGCUAAACAUUUCAUUCUAAAACAUUCUCAUUCAUUCACUUCACUUGUGUUCAGACUUAUUUUCCUACCUAAGCUGCUAAUGUGAUUAGCCUUUUGUUUCCAAACCCUUUCUCCCAUUACUUUUUAAAAACUAUUUUAGACGAUUUUGCAGCCCUUCAACUGAUGGAUCAUCCCUCAUCCCAACACACCUAUCAGAUGCACAGUGACUCUGCCACAUCAACUGAGUGCAACCAGGCUACACAGGAGGACAGUAGGAAACUGAAUAAUACAUGUCUUGUGGUAAUCACUAGACAAAAUCAGAUGUGGGUCUUCUGGUGAGUAACAUUUUGGAUAUGAUAAACUGUUCUGAUUUGCUUUGACUACUUGAAAUUGUAACAGUUUUAGAUAGAACCUUCCUCUUUAAAACAUGAUCUACCUUCUUUUAAUAACUCUCUCUUUAUGCAUUACCUGAUUAAAAGAAAAAAAAACAAACCAAAAACUGAAUUCACACAUCCUGCCUCCAGUCCUUUACUUCUGCUUAAAGCCAGCUUUUAGCCAAUUCCUUUAUACCAAAGAAUGCUCUUUCUGCCAUCCUACUUGAGCUGUCCUACUGCAUACUCCAUUCCUCCUUCACUAUUUUCUCUGCACUAACCUCUCCUCUUUUCCUAACCAUAUACUACAGCAACCAUUGCCAACUGCAUGAGUUUUGGAUAAAGAGGGCCCUGUCCUGUAAGUAGCACAGAUGGGGCUACAUCAGUGGAAAUUGUGAUGGCCCGAAGGAGAAUCAGGUCUGUUGAUUUUAUUCUGUUUUAUAAAAAUUAAAAGUUUAAAGCAACUCAUGGGUUCUUGUGGUUUUAAGAUGAGAAUAGUCAAGUAACUUCAAGUAAUUCAGCUUUUAUCUCCCUGCCUUCAUUUGUAUCAAAGCAGCUACUUUGAUUUGUCUCCUUUCCCACCCCAACCCAGUCCCUCACCCUGUUCUGUGUUUCUGGUAAAUCCAGACAAGAUCCCUACUGUACGUGGCUGGCACAAUGAACUGGAGCUUUCCCCUUCUCAGCUCAGCAAUGAAUAUAAAUAAUGCAUACACAUACCUAUUUCCCAGCUACGUUUUCACAGUGUCAUUUUUGUAAAUAUUUAGGUAGCAUGAAUCUCAUCAGCACAAAGAGAAAGCUUCACUGAAAACUCGUUGCAGAUAUUUACUGGGAAGCACUACAGUGAGGGAUUUGUUUCUAGAUGGGCAGCUCCUGGGAAAAAACCCACCCAAAGUCACCUUUAACUCUAUGGAAAGUGAAUAGCCUUGAAAUCUACAGUGACAAUGGAAAUGAGAGUGGCAUAAACCAAAUGAAGCCAAAAGAAAACAGAACAGGCAUAGCAUAUCUUCAUCCUUUUAGAAAAUGUAGUGUAAUAAAUAGCUACAGCUGUAGUCCUUUUGUUUCCCCAGCGUCUUCCAAAUGCAAACA